rnacentral:rRNA from 1 species
GACGAACGCUGGCGGCGUGCUUAACACAUGCAAGUCGAACGGAAGGGCCCUGCUUUUGUGGGGUGCUCGAGUGGCGAACGGGUGAGUAACACGUGAGUAACCUGCCCUUGACUUUGGGAUAACUUCAGGAAACUGGGACUAAUACCGGAUAGGAGCUCCUGCUGCAUGGUGGGGGUUGGAAAGUUUCGGCGGUUGGGGAUGGACUCGCGGCUUAUCAGCUUGUUGGUGGGGUAGUGGCUUACCAAGGCUUUGACGGGUAGCCGGCCUGAGAGGGUGACCGGCCACAUUGGGACUGAGAUACGGCCCAGACUCCUACGGGAGGCAGCAGUGGGGAAUAUUGCACAAUGGGCGGAAGCCUGAUGCAGCAACGCCGCGUGCGGGAUGACGGCCUUCGGGUUGUAAACCGCUUUCGCCUGUGACGAAGCGUGAGUGACGGUAAUGGGUAAAGAAGCACCGGCUAACUACGUG